CCUACGGGUGGCUGCAGUGAGGAAUAUUGGUCAAUGGGCGCGAGCCUGAACCAGCCAAGUCGCGUGAAGGAUGACUGCUCUAUGGGUUGUAAACUUCUUUUAUAAAGGAAUAAAGUGAGGCACGUGUGCCUUUUUGUAUGUACUUUAUGAAUAAGGAUCGGCUAACUCCGUGCCAGCAGCCGCGGUAAUACGGAGGAUGCGAGCGUUAUCCGGAUUUAUUGGGUUUAAAGGGUGCGUAGGUGGUUUGUUAAGUCAGUUGUGAAAGUUUGCGGCUCAACCGUAAAAUUGCAAUUGAUACUGGCAGACUUGAGUACAGUUGAGGUAGGCGGAAUUCGUGGUGUAGCGGUGAAAUGCUUAGAUAUCACGCAGAACUCCGAUUGCGAAGGCAGCUUACUAAACUACAACUGACAUUGAGGCACGAAAGUGUGGGGAUCAAACAGGAUUAGAUACCCGGGUAGUC
rnacentral:rRNA from 1 species